CGUCUAUAUACGUAUAGCAUAUCAAUAAGCGGAGGAAAAGAAACUAACUAGGAUUCCCUCAGUAACGGCGAGUGAAGCGGGAAGAGCUCAAAUUUGAAAUCUUCAAGGUUCUACCUUGACGAAUUGUAGUUUAAAGAAGUGUUUUCUGUUGGAGUUUUGGUAAAAGUUCUUUGGAAUAGGACAUCAUAGAGGGUGAGAAUCCCGUAUUUGACCAUUAUUUCCAACUUUGUGAUACACUUUCAAAGAGUCGGAUUGUUUGGGAAUGCAGUCCAAAAUGGGUGGUAAAUUUCAUCUAAAGCUAAAUAUUGGCGAGAGACCGAUAGCGAACAAGUACCGUGAGGGAAAGAUGAAAAGAACUUUGAAAAGAGAGUUAAACAGUACGUGAAAUUGUCAAAAGGGAAGCGUUUGACACCAGUGUUGUUUUCUCGAAAAUCAAUUAAAAAUGGUGGGAUUUUGUGUUGUAAUAUAUGACUUUAUCAGCUUUCUGCACUUUUUUCCUAUCUUUUUUAAUGCACUUUUCGUUUAACAAGUCAACAUCAAUUUCUUUUGCUGUAAAAGAGUCAUUGGAAGGUGGCUUUCUUUUCGGAGAAAGUGUUUAUAGCCUUUGACUUCUGCAGUCGGAGAGAUUGAGGUCUGCAGCGUAGAUCCUUCGGGGUUAGAUACAUUUGUGCUAAGCUAUAGCCUUUCAUAGACAACUUGUUGACUAUGAUCAGUCAUGUAGCUUACUCGCUUAUGCUAUUUUACCUACGCUUAGGAUGUUGAAGUCAUCGUAUCGCGC
rnacentral:rRNA from 1 species